rnacentral:rRNA from 1 species
UACGGAGGGUGCAAGCGUUAUCCGGAUUCACUGGGUUUAAAGGGUGCGUAGGCGGGCAGGUAAGUCCGUGGUGAAAUCUCUGAACUUAACUCAGAAACUGCCAUGGAUACUAUUUGUCUUGAAUGUUGUGGAGGUAAGCGGAAUAUGUCAUGUAGCGGUGAAAUGCUUAGAUAUGAACAUAGAACACCAAUUGCGAAGGCAGCUUACUACACAGUUAUUGACACUGAGGCACGAAAGCGUGGGGAUCAAACAGG